CCAUGAUUCCUAUGAUGGACAGGAAUAAAGAACACGAAAAACCAGCAUCUCAGGUAGGAUUUUUACAAGGUAUCUGCAUCCCUUGUUAUGAUUUACUACAAAAAUUAGUUCCUGAAACAAGACUAAUGCUGGACGGUUGUCAAAAAAAUCUUCAAAAGUGGCAAGAAUUAGCCAACCAGCAAGAAAAUAAGUAAAUUAAUGUGGUUUUUGUUUUCAUACUUUGGCAUAUAAAUGGAUGAAUAUCUGUUUAAUUUAUUGUUAAGUAAAUCUUUUGUAUGAUUGAAGAAUGGUACAAAGCCAAAUCGUAAUCCAAAAAUGGCAUUUAUAAAAUAUUUAAAACUACAAAUAGCCAAAUGAUAUAAUGAUAUUUGGAGUAAUGCAUAGAGAAUAAGCAAAUUAUUGUAUGAAUCUCAUAUCUGCUAAUGUACAUGCUGUUAAUUUGCCGGAAUUUGAGGAGUCCGAAAAAGUAUACAUACUCUUGUUACUAUAAGAAAAACAGACCAUGCAACUGAUAAAGAAUAAUAAUUAUUUUAAUUUGUUGUGGCGACAGUCCUCGGAUUAAAAUCUAUUUUUAUAAUAAAUAAAUAAUAUAUUUAUUAUAAGUGUCUGUAAGGCAAAUUUUAUAGCAGUGCCUGAAAAUAUGAGAUUUUGAAUGCUGUAUGGAUGAAGUAAGAAAACAAUCAACUUUCUACAUAAAAGCAUGCCAGGGGCAGUUAUUGUGAUUUAAAUACUACAUUUUAAUGACAACAAUCAUGUUAAAUGCUCCCAAUAGACAUCUUAGUUGGACUGUCUUUGUCUUCUGAUCAAUUUGGGAUGUCUUAAAUGGUUUUAAAUCUAUUUAUCGAAUGAUCGUGUAAUUAUUUUUUAAGCUGUUAUGAAUAUGUUACAUAAUCAUUUGUAUUAUAUGAAGUACAUUGUAAAUGUCUGUACAAUUGUUCUGAUUCGUCUGUGAUAGAAAAAAACAAUUACCAUCAACAUUGUUGGUUUGUUGUUUAAAAUACAAAAUAUCUACAGUAUUAUUGAUAUUUGUACAGCUAUAUUGUAUAAAAAAAAGUUACUAUAAGU